rnacentral:rRNA from 1 species
AUGCUGGUAAUCCAUAAUAUGACUCUUUCUAUUUCAGGACCUAGGGAGCUCACUGGUGCUGUUGAUUUAAUAAGUCAGUACAAAUUGCAGCCGCACCAUGAUUUCUUUUGCAAGAGGCCUUUGCCACUUGCAAUCUCAGAUACACAUUACCUUCACAAUGUUGUGGGGGACACUGAAAUUCGGAAAGGAGAAGGAAUGAAGCUAGGUCAACUCGUUCAGAAUGCAUACUUAAGGAUAAGCCUGCUUAUAUUCAGCCCUUUGAUAUGGAAACACUGGGGCAAGCAUUUCAGCUUCGAGAAACUGCUCCAGUAG